rnacentral:lncRNA from 1 species
ACGACAUAUAAGCCUUUUUAUUUCCGAAGAUCCGAAUCAGAAAAAAAAUUCCUGAGAAAAAAGAGAACAGUUCGUCGUUUCUAUGAAUCACUGAACCAGCAGCAGCGCCACUUUGCGUUUUGGACACGACCUGAUCAAGCCAUCGAAACCCUGAUCCAGUAUUUUAAAAGCCGCACAAAAUCUAGAUCUGACAAAUGCUUACCUGAUAGAGGGAUGUGGAACAGUCGACCAUGACUUGGUUGUGGGCUGCUAUAACAUCCUCCUUCACUGUGUCGUGAAGUGCCUGGAGGUCCUCCUUGAUUGCAGCACGGAUAGCCGCAACAUUCACUGCUCUAGCCAUGCUCAGUCCUCUCCUCCUUCAAUGCACCAUGUAACACUUGCAAAUCCUCCCUCACUACCACACGAAUGGAUCCCAUUCCUGCACGCAUGGCAGAUGCUAACACCAGCACACAAGCUAUGGUCACAAUGCACAGCACAUUGAUCGCAAUGGUGCUAACAAACACCAUGGCAAUCAAAAAUUCCAUCGUUAGUGUCCGUAACAACAAAAUCAAGCUUUG